rnacentral:rRNA from 1 species
UACGUAGGGGGCGAGCGUUGUUCGGAAUUGCUGGGCGUAAAGCGCGCGUAGGCGGAUUGUUAAGUCGGGGGUGAAAUCCCCGGGCUCAACCUGGGAAUUGCAAUGGAUACUGGCAGGCUGGAGUAUGGUAGAGGAAGGUGGAAUUCCCGGUGUAGCAGUGAAAUGCGUAGAGAUCGGGAGGAACACCGAUGGCGAAGGCGGCCUUCUGGACCAAUACUGACGCUCAUGCACGAAAGCGUGGGGAGCAAACAGG